rnacentral:rRNA from 1 species
AUUGAACGCUGGCGGCAUGCUUUACACAUGCAAGUCGAACGGCAGCACGGGUGCUUGCACCUGGUGGCGAGUGGCGAACGGGUGAGUAAUGCAUCGGAACGUGCCCAUGAGUGGGGGAUAGCCCGGCGAAAGCCGGAUUAAUACCGCAUACGCCCUUAGGGGGAAAGCGGGGGAUCUUCGGACCUCGUGCUAUUGGAGCGGCCGAUGUCGGAUUAGCUAGUAGGUGAGGUAAAGGCUCACCUAGGCGACGAUCCGUAGCUGGUCUGAGAGGAUGAUCAGCCACACUGGGACUGAGACACGGCCCAGACUCCUACGGGAGGCAGCAGUGGGGAAUUUUGGACAAUGGGCGCAAGCCUGAUCCAGCCAUGCCGCGUGAGUGAAGAAGGCCU